CCGUGCUGCUCCAUCUCGCGGCAGGCCAGACAUGAAUAACUGUUGUCUCCUUCUUUACUAUCGUUGAAAAAAUAUGGCGGUUGGUGACCACGUUAUGAUUUGGAUUUUGGAUUGUCAACGGUACUUUCCGUGUGUGUUAACCUACAGUAACAAGACCCACGGAUAACAAAAGACGUUUACAUCAAAAGUUCGUAAGGAAAAGAAAGAAAGCUUUUGAAUAAAUUUACGAAAAGGACGAAAAGAGCUUGCGAAAUGUGAACGUACGGUAUGAAUGCAGGAUAUCAGCCAGAGGUCAUUCAGGCCCACUUUAAAUUAAACAAGCAUUAUUAAGCAUGUUCUAUGAGGACCUUGGAGAGUAUGAAAAGUGAUACCAGUUAUCUUUGAUAGCUGCAUAUUUAUCUCCUCAAGAUGCCGAUGAAUGGCUACGAUUAGCCGAGGUUUGUUUGAGUAAAAAAGAUGAGCUGCAGGUGCAAAUGCUUUGCCAAAGCUUUUCAAAGCAUUUAAUAGCAGUAGGCCUGUCAUGAUCAGAACUAUGGAAAAUAUUCUGUCCACCAGGGAAUGACGCCUUAGGAGAAAGAACUGCGGUUGCGAUCUUCAACAAUAUUGCGUAACAAUAUUGCGUCUUUGCGAUACGAAUCACUUGUAAUCUAAAAUUGAGCGAAGAUGGUCGACGAGAGUAGCAACCUGCAACCCAGAAGCUGCUCAACUCUAGAAGGCGUUGAGCGAAGAUGAAAUCAAAGUAAAUUGCAGUUGGUUCCGUGUCCUCCACUACCAAAUCAGUCGCUCUGCUCAGAGCCUGAUUGAAGUGAUUGACGAAUUUGAUGAAUUUUGAUGCUUUAAGACUUGGAGACCAUAUUUUCCACCACUUCGAGAAGCUGAGUAACAUUCUACUUGUACAAUGUUAAGAAUGGCACCUUUUGAUAAAAGGAACUUCAACCAUCCAAUCUAGGACUUCCAUCCAAUCGUGCAGGCUGCAAGGAAGUCGCAUUUACCUUUGCUGUGAACAUCAUGAACACAUACACUUUUUGAAGGUUCAUGUUUACAUAGCAGUGGUGUUGCUGUCCAAUGUGGCGUGUUGUUGCAGCCUAUGACAGGGGUGAAAGAUAUCUGCAUCAAGUUGCUGUUCCUUGUGCAUCCAAGGUGCUGGUUUUGUGCUACAGAAGUUGCAUUCAGUAUUGUGUUUAAUUGCUAUUUGUGUCUAUGCAGUUUACCUUUUAUAUUUUGAGAAGGAACAAAAAAAAAGUAAUACGGGGAGGUUUAUGUCAAACAAAUAAUAAACAUGUCCGCGAUUGGGGAAUGAGGAGGAAGUUGGGGUGGGAUAUUUGAUUAUCAUUUACUAAAAGAAGUGAGGUGUGUUUUUAAUGAAUACGCAAUACUUAGUGAUAAAAUCUGUUGUUAACCUAUCUAACCUUCCUCACUUACACAUCCAUUCCUCAAACCCCAUAAACACCAACAUCAAAUCCCACAUCCACUUACAUCCAUUCCUCAAACCCCACAAUCUCCAACAUCAAACCACACAAUUGUUGUAUAUCUAUAACCAUCUAUAUAUAUAAAUAAAUGAAAUGUCAUUGUA